GAUGAACGCUGGCGGCGUGCCUAAUACAUGCAAGUCGAGCGAACAGACGAGGAGCUUGCUCCUCUGACGUUAGCGGCGGACGGGUGAGUAACACGUGGAUAACCUACCUAUAAGACUGGGAUAACUUCGGGAAACCGGAGCUAAUACCGGAUAAUAUAUUGAACCGCAUGGUUCAAUAGUGAAAGACGGUUUUGCUGUCACUUAUAGAUGGAUCCGCGCCGCAUUAGCUAGUUGGUAAGGUAACGGCUUACCAAGGCAACGAUGCGUAGCCGACCUGAGAGGGUGAUCCGCCACAACGGAACUGAGACAAGGUCCAGACUCCUAAGGGAGGCAGCAGUAGGGAAUCUUCCGCAAUGGGCGAAAGCCUGACGGAGCAACGCCGCGUGAGUGAUGAAGGUCUUCGGAUCGUAAAACUCUGUUAUUAGGGAAGAACAAAUGUGUAAGUAACUAUGCACGUCUUGACGGUACCUAAUCAGAAAGCCACGGCUAACUACGUG
rnacentral:rRNA from 1 species